GGGCGAUUAGCUCAGUUGGUAGAGCAGCUGACUCUUAAUCAGUAGGUCGUGGGUUCGAAUCCCCCAUCGCCCACCA
rnacentral:tRNA from 1 species